GGCCUUGUGGUGAAGUUCAUGAUGAGUUGCAAGCUCAUUGAUGCACAUUAAGGUGUGCCGAGGUCU
rnacentral:tRNA from 1 species